UGGGGAAUAUUGCACAAUGGGCGAAAGCCUGAUGCAGCGACGCCGCGUGAGGGAUGACGGCCUUCGGGUUGUAAACCUCUUUCAGUAGGGACGAAGCGCAAGUGACGGUACCUGCAGAAGAAGCACCGGCUAACUACGUGCCAGCAGCCGCGGUAAUACGUAGGGUGCGAGCGUUGUCCGGAAUUACUGGGCGUAAAGAGUUCGUAGGCGGUUUGUCACGUCGUCUGUGAAAUCCUAGGGCUUAACCCUGGACGUGCAGGCGAUACGGGCUGACUUGAGUACUACAGGGGAGACUGGAAUUUCUGGUGUAGCGGUGGAAUGCACAGAUAUCAGGAAGAACACCGAUGGCGAAGGCAGGUCUCUGGGUAGUAACUGACGCUGAGGAGCGAAAGCAUGGGUAGCGAACAGG
rnacentral:rRNA from 1 species